GGAUUGUGGCUUAGUGGCAGAGCGCUUGUCUAGCAGGUAUAAGGCACUGGGUUCAAUCCUCAGCACCA
rnacentral:tRNA from 1 species